GCAGCAAAAGCUCAUAGAGCGUCGGCCUUGUAAGCCGAAGAGUGGAAAGAUAGUUUCCUUGCCGUA
rnacentral:tRNA from 1 species